AGCAGCCGCGGUAAUUCCAGCUCCAAUAGCGUAUAUUAAAGUUGUUGCAGUUAAAAAGCUCGUAGUUGAAUUUCGGAAUCAAUGGAUCGGUCAUGCCAAUCGGUGUGUACUGGUUUGAUUGGUUCUCACCUUCUAAGGAACCGUGAUGUCAUUAAUUUGGUGUCGCGGGGAAUUAGGACUGUUACCUUGAAAAAAUUAGAGUGUUUAAAGCAAGCUCACGCUCGAAUACAUUAGCAUGGAAUAAUGAAAUAGGACAUUGUAUUCUAUUUUGUUGGUUUCUAGGAUCGAUGUAAUGAUUAAUAGGGAUAGUUGGGGGCAUUAGUAUUCAAUUGUCAGAGGUGAAAUUCUUGGAUUUAUUGAAGACUAACUACUGCGAAAGCAUUUGCCAAGGAUGUUUUCAUUAAUCAAGAACGAAAGUUAGGGGAUCGAAGACGAUCAGAUACCGUCGUAGUCUUAACCAUAAACUAUGCCGACUAGGGAUCGGAUGAUGUUAAUUUUUAAUGACUCAUUC
rnacentral:rRNA from 1 species